AGGGGGCUGGCCGAGUCGUCAUCGUUGCUGAUGACCGACGACGAGCCUGGCAACACGAGGGCAAAGAGGAGGCAAUGCUGUCAUCCAUUGGCGGCAGUGGCGAGUCUGGAAGGGAGCAGAACUCCAUUGUGAGUCAUGAAAAGUCACAUCAUAUCAGAUGUGCGUGUGUGUGUGUGUGUUUAAAUGUGUAAAAAGGUUAAACACACACAAAAAAAAUGUUUUGCAUGUUUAAAAUGGUUUAAAGGGUUGUUGAGAAAAACUUAAUUAGUAUUUAGCUAUGUAGCUAAAAUUAGCUGAGCACGUUUGAAAGUUGUUGGACAUGACACGGCAUCUUGAGAAAAAUAAAGAGAACCCAUUGAACACUUUUUUCUUUUUUUU